rnacentral:rRNA from 1 species
UGGGGAAUCUUGCGCAAUGGGCGAAAGCCUGACGCAGCCAUGCCGCGUGAAUGAUGAAGGUCUUAGGAUUGUAAAAUUCUUUCACCGGGGACGAUAAUGACGGUACCCGGAGAAGAAGCCCCGGCUAACUUCGUGCCAGCAGCCGCGGUAAUACGAAGGGGGCUAUCGUUGCUCGGAAUUACUGGGCGUAAAGGGCGCGUAGGCGGAUCGUUAAGUCAGAGGUGAAAUCCCAGGGCUCAACCCUGGAACUGCCUUUGAUACUGGCGAUCUUGAGUAUGAGAGAGGUAUGUGGAACUCCGAGUGUAGAGGUGAAAUUCGUAGAUAUUCGGAAGAACACCAGUGGCGAAGGCGACAUACUGGCUCAUUACUGACGCUGAGGCGCGAAAGCGUGGGGAGCAAACAGG